AAAAUUGAAUGAUGAACAUAAACUCCUUAGCAGGCAUCAUAAGAAGGACACUGUUACGCUGCAACACUGAGUGGUGAAGCACAUAAGAGAGUCCAGAGUUAUUGGUUUCUGAAGAAUGAUGGGCCACGUUCUGUUCAGAGUGUUCAUUUUCGUCACACUUAUCUCAUUUUAUCUUUAAGCUCUUUUGACUAAUAAAUAAUUCACAAUUAACAUUUUCUGAAGUCUUUUUUUAUUUUUUGGUGAUAUUUAAAUUUGAGACACAACAUUGCUUUUAAAAAGUGUGUUGUUAUACAGGAGGUUCUGAAUAUCCCUUCAGCAAUCCAACAUGAUGAAUAUACAUAAUAGUUCAUUAGGAUUUCUGCAGAUGUCCUAUAGGAAUUGAACACUAAUGCAAAUUAGAUUUCCUGUAGGUUUCCUGCAGGAGUCCUGCAUGUUUCCUGUAGGUUUCCUGCAGGAAGUCCUGCAUGUUUCCUGUAGGUUUCUGUAGGAUUCCUGCAGGAGUCCUACAGGAAAAUGGUCACGAAAAUCCUGUGGGAUCCUGUAGGAAUGUGCAGGUAUGUGGUGUGUAGGUCCUGCAGGAUUUUUCCUGCAGGAUUCCUG